rnacentral:rRNA from 1 species
UACAGAGGGUGCAAGCGUUAAUCGGAAUUACUGGGCGUAAAGCGUGCGUAGACGGUUCUGUAAGUCGGAUGUGAAAUCCCCGGGCUCAACCUGGGAAUUGCAUUCGAAACUGCCGAGCUAGGGUGCGGUAGAGGGAAGCGGAAUUUCCGGUGUAGCGGUGAAAUGCGUAGAUAUCGGAAGGAACAUCAGUGGCGAAAGCGGCUUCCUGGACCAGCACCGACGUUCAGGCACGAAAGCGUGGGGAGCAAACAGG